GAUGAACGCUGGCGGCGUGCUUAACACAUGCAAGUCGAACGGAGGACCCUUGACGGAGUUUUCGGACAACGGAUAGGAAUCCUUAGUGGCGGACGGGUGAGUAACGCGUGAGGAACCUGCCUUGGAGAGGGGAAUAACACAGAGAAAUUUGUGCUAAUACCGCAUGAUGCAGUUGGGUCGCAUGGCUCUGACUGCCAAAGAUUUAUCGCUCUGAGAUGGCCUCGCGUCUGAUUAGCUAGUUGGUAGGGUAACGGCCUACCAAGGCGACGAUCAGUAGCCGGACUGAGAGGUUGACCGGGCCACAUUGGGACUGAGACACGGGCCCAGACUCCUACGGGAGGCAGCAGUGGGGAAUAUUGGGGCAAUGGGCGCAAGCCUGACCCCAGCAACGCCGCGUGAAGGGAAGAAGGCUUUCGGGGUGUAAAACUUCUUUUAUGAGGGACGAAGGAAGUGACGGGUACCUCAUGAAAUAAA
rnacentral:rRNA from 1 species